rnacentral:snoRNA from 2 species
UUCCUCUCAGGGUCACACCUGGAGAGUUUCCAGUACUCUAUCAGUCUCAACUACAGGAGGGAGAGUCAGGCAGAGGCAUAUACAUAUCCAUUCCAUUCCUAGCUUAGGCAGUGGCUAGCAAGUGGAAGGCAAUCUGCUACAAGU